rnacentral:tRNA from 1 species
GUCUGGCUGGCUCGGUGGGUGGAGCAUGCGACUCUUGAUCUCAGGGUCGUGGGUUCGAGCCCCAUGUGGGGUG